rnacentral:rRNA from 1 species
GUGCCAGCCGCCGCGGUAAGACGGGGGAUGCAAGUGUUAUCCGGAAUUACUGGGCGUAAAGCGUCUGUAGGUUGUUUAAUAAGUCAACUGUUAAAUCUUGAGGCUUAACCUCAAAACAGCAGUCGAAACUAUUAGACUAGAGUAUAGUAGGGGUAAAGGGAAUUUCCAGUGGAGCGGUGAAAUGCGUAGAUAUUGGAAAGAACACCGAUGGCGAAAGCACUUUACUGGGCUAUUACUAACACUCAGAGACGAAAGCUAGGGUAGCAAAUGGGAUUAGAUACCCCAGUAGUCCUAGCUGUAAACAAUGGAUACUAGAUGUUGAACAGAUCGACCUGUGCAGUAUUAAAGCUAACGCGUUAAGUAUCCCGCCUGGGAAGUAUGCUCGCAAGAGUGAAACUUAAAUGAAUUGACGGGG